UACGGAGGGUGCAAGCGUUAUCCGGAUUCACUGGGUUUAAAGGGUGCGUAGGCGGGCAGGUAAGUCAGUGGUGAAAUCUCCGAGCUUAACUUGGAAACUGCCGUUGAUACUAUCUGCCUUGAAUAUUGUGGAGGUGAGCGGAAUAUGUCAUGUAGUGGUGAAAUGCUUAGAUAUGACAUAGAACACCAAUUGCGAAGGCAGCUCGCUACACAUAUAUUGACUCUGAGGCACGAAAGCGUGGGGAUCAAACAGG
rnacentral:rRNA from 1 species